UAAAAAUCGAGGCGGGGCCGAGAGGCUGCGGCGGCUGACUAGGUUUUCGGACCGCGGCGCGGCGGGGAAGAGAGACUGCGGCGGGAGGGCCAGGCCGUGGGAGAGACGCGGGAAAGUGCGGGUCGCAGAGGCACUUGACCACCCCGCCCUAGGCCGACCCGGCGGACGCGGCGUCUGGUGUGCGGGCGCUGGGGCGGGUCCCAGGUCUCCCCGCUGCGCUGCUUGAGGCUCGGCCAUGGCCCAGCAGAGAGCCCUGCCCCAGAGCAAGGAGACGCUGCUGCAGUCCUACAACAAGCGGCUGAAGGACGACAUUAAGUCCAUCAUGGACAACUUCACCGAGAUCAUCAAGACCGCCAAGGUGGGGGUGGGGUGGCCCACCAAGGGGAGCAGAGUCUGAGAAGGGGUGGAGACAGGAGAGGCCAGGGGCUGAGCAGCGCGAGUGAAUAGUGUUCUAGGCAGGAAGCACCCAGUGCACAGGGAGCUGGUCAGUA
rnacentral:lncRNA from 1 species